ACACCUCAACUCUCAUGGUCCGCCAUGAUGAGCUUGGACUUUGGGGGUCUUGCCGGCCUAGCGUCGGCUCCUCUCAAAUGGAUCAGCUUCCCAGUGUUUGGUGGCGUCACAGGUGUGAUAACUAUCUACGCUUGUGGUUUUCUGCCAUUAACCUUCAGCAAUGGAGGUUCGCUGGAGCUCACAGAUGUCCUUUCCUUGGGGAGGACAGCUUCUUGAAU
rnacentral:misc_RNA from 1 species